UGUAAGGGUAUAAGGUAAAAUUUUCUAAAGAUGGGGAAAGAGGUCUCCGAAUACAGCUCAAUCCAACAAAAACUUCCAAACACGUCUCAAACAAAGCUCAACCGGAGAAGUUACCUCCACCGCAACGGAAAUUGGCUCCGGCGGCGGCGGAGGGCCAAAUGCCUAACCUCCUACAUCAAAAUGUUCGUAUCUUCCUCCCCUACCUAAAUUUAAACUCCUUUUGUCCUAAUCCGAUCUCAAACUUCCAAAUCGAGCCCUACCAUAUAUGAACCGUAGAACUCUAAAAUCAAAUUAAACCCAACGAUGCUUAAUUCAGACUCCAAAGUUUAGGGCUAUGAAUCCUAAGCGCUCGAAUUACAUGCUGGUAAUGAAAAUUGAAGAUGAACAGAAGGAUUGGGAGAUUCCUACCUUUCAAAUCGGUGGCUUGCUCCGGAUAUUGUUGCAAUGAAGAAGAUGCAGUUUUGAAACAAGAAACCAAUGAGUGCUUUAACGAGGGCUGCCCAAGGCUGAUUUGCUUGCAUUGGAUCAUGACUUCAAAGUGUGCAUAUGAUGAAAGUUCAAUGGAGGUGGAGAAUGCAAACAUGGCUUGCUUGUGAUUGAAGCAAGCUUUGGAUGAGAGUCAAAAGAGAUGAUGGAAAAAAUGAGAAAUAGGGUUUUAGAAGUAUGUGUUGUUGACUUUGGUCGACUGUUGACCAAAAAGUCAAUAAUUGACUAAAAAGUCAACCUUACCAAAAUCUCUUUUUUUUUUGUAUUAACAAUGUAAGUUGGGAUUUGAAUGUAAUGGCUCAUUUUGAAUGUAAAUUUCUUUGAAUUAAUGAAAAAAAAAAGCUUUAUUUCAUAUAAGAA